GAUGAACGCUAGCGGGAGGCUUAACACAUGCAAGUCGUGGGGCAGCAUUAGGUAGCAAUACUUGAUGGCGACCGGCGCACGGGUGAGUAACGCGUAUGCAACCUACCCAGUACAGGGGGAUAGCCCGGAGAAAUUCGGAUUAAUACCCCAUAAUGAUAUCAGAAGGCAUCUUUUGAUAUUUAAAGCUUCGGCGGUACUGGAUGGGCAUGCGUAAGAUUAGCUAGUUGGUAGGGUAACGGCCUACCAAGGCUCCGAUCUUUAGGGGUCCUGAGAGGGUGAUCCCCCACACUGGUACUGAGACACGGACCAGACUCCUACGGGAGGCAGCAGUGAGGAAUAUUAGUCAAUGGGCGCAAGCCUGAACCAGCCAUCCCGCGUGAGGGAAGAAUGCGCUAUGCGUUGUAAACUUCUUUUCCGGAGGAAUAAAAUCUUGUACGUGUACAGGACUGAAGGUACUCCGGGAAUAAGCAUCGGCUAACUCCGUGCCAGCAGCCGCGGUAAAAC
rnacentral:rRNA from 1 species